GACGAACGCUGGCGGCGUGCCUAAUACAUGCGAGUCGAACGAGAGCGACCGGUGCUUGCACUGGUCAAUCUAGUGGCGAACGGGUGAGUAACACGUGGGUAACCUGCCCAUCAGAGGGGGAUAACAUUCGGAAACGGAUGCUAAAACCGCAUAGGUCUUCGAACCGCAUGGUUUGAAGAGGAAAAGAGGCGCAAGCUUCUGCUGAUGGAUGGACCCGCGGUGCAUUAGCUAGUUGGUGAGGUAACGGCUCACCAAGGCCGUGAUGCAUAGCCGACCUGAGAGGGUGAUCGGCCACAUUGGGACUGAGACACGGCCCAAACUCCUACGGGAGGCAGCAGUAGGGAAUCUUCCGCAAUGGACGCAAGUCUGACGGAGCAACGCCGCGUGAGUGAAGAAGGUUUUCGGAUCGUAAAACUCUGUUGUUAGAGAAGAACAAGUGCUAGAGUAACUGUUAGCGCCUUGACGGUAUCUAACCAGAAAGCCACGGCUAACUACGUG
rnacentral:rRNA from 1 species